GUGUGUGUGUGUGUGUGCGCGUGUGUGUGUGUGUGUGUUGAGCUGGCCUUGUGCAUCCUUAACAUUCUGGUGUUUGUCCUAGAUAAACGGGAGCACAUCUUAUCUGGACUAUAAUCAAUACCAUGGGUGAACUUUGCCAUAUCAACACAGCUCGGCCCUCAUAAAUGUCCCUACAGCUCUGAAUUUAAUCCUUGUCUUAUGUUUUUUCAUUACCUCUGCUCAGUACAGCAGAAGCUUGGACACUCAAACUGGUGCUAUUGUGAAACAAACAAAUGGGGAAGCAGAUCAGAUCAGAUCCACCACCACUAAGCUUUUAAAGCAAAACAAAAGUGCGUCUGCAGUAAUUGUUUCCAACCAAGCACGGAGAAAAACAACCAAAAAAUGGAGGGAAAAAACAACAUUCCUGUCGAAUGUGGGUGCUCGGUGCAUUUUCAAAGAGUGACAAUUGCAACUUGUGUGUGUGUGGGUGUGUGUGUGUGUGUGUGUGUCUGUGUGUGUGUGUGUGAGAGAGAGAGAGAGAGAUAGAGAUAGAGGGAGAGUUCAGUGCAGACUGGACAGGGUAUUUGGGAGGUCUGACAAAGAGUUUCUGGCUGUGCUGCAGAGUCAAAACAAUAGCAUAUCUUCAUAAGCUAGUGAUCACAAAGCUAUAUUUUUACCUCUGAGUUGGAGAGUUGGGUUUAGACAUGCGAUCCUGACUGUGGUCCAGGAGCAUUUAGUUCCACUUUUGCAACUUGGCCAAAAGUGAGUCAGCCAUGACCAAGUGGAAAUUGCAGUGUCUGUUGUAAAACAUACUUUAUUCGGGUGUCCAGCUUUGAGCAAGCAGGUCCUUGAGGGCAAGUUUGUUCACCCAAACGAGCAGUCCCACGUAGGGACUCGUCCUGUUGUUCUGAACCUGUGGCCAUCCUUUGUAAAACAUGCAGUCUGAUGAUGAUUCUAGCCGUGUAAGUUGAAGAUGCAAUACUUACAAUAAAAACACCAAGAUUUUCAAACCUGAA